rnacentral:rRNA from 1 species
GAUGAACGCUGGCGGCGUGCCUAACACAUGCAAGUCAAGGAGAAAGGGGUAGCAAUAUCCCGAGUACACUGGCGCACGGGUGAGUAAGGCGUAGGCAACCUGCCUAUAGGACGAGAACAACUCAGCGAAAGCUGAACUAAUACUCGAUAAUGCAGCGGCAUCGCAUGAUGAUGUUGUUAAAAGCCCCAAAAGGGUGCCUAUAGAUGGGCCUGCGUCCCAUUAGGUAGUUGGUGAGGUAACGGCCCACCAAGCCUACGAUGGGUAGCUGGUCUGAGAGGAUGAUCAGCCACACUGGCACUGGAACACGGGCCAGACUCCUACGGGAGGCAGCAGUGAGGAAUUUUGCGCAAUGGCCGCAAGGCUGACGCAGCAACGCCGCGUGGGUGAUGAAGGCCUGG